CCUACGGGGUGCAGCAGUGAGGAAUAUUGGUCAAUGGACGAGAGUCUGAACCAGCCAAGUAGCGUGAAGGAUGACUGCCCUAUGGGUUGUAAACUUCUUUUAUAUGGGAAUAAAAUGUUCCACGUGUGGGAUUUUGUAUGUACCAUAUGAAUAAGGAUCGGCUAACUCCGUGCCAGCAGCCGCGGUAAUACGGAGGAUCCGAGCGUUAUCCGGAUUUAUUGGGUUUAAAGGGAGCGUAGGUGGAUUGUUAAGUCAGUUGUGAAAGUUUGCGGCUCAACCGUAAAAUUGCAGUUGAAACUGGCAGUCUUGAGUACAGUAGAGGUGGGCGGAAUUCGUGGUGUAGCGGUGAAAUGCUUAGAUAUCACGAAGAACUCCGAUUGCGAAGGCAGUUCACUGGACUGCAACUGACACUGAGGCUCGAAAGUGUGGGUAUCAAACAGGAUUAGAUACCCUAGUAUUC
rnacentral:rRNA from 1 species